CAGUGGGCAGAGAUUCCAGACUUUCUACUAAAUUCACACUUCCCUUCACCUCUCACACAUACAUUAAACCCUAAUUCACAAAAUCCUAAUCAGUGACAUGGACGCCGCCCAAAAUCCUUUAUGCGCACAAGAAGCACUCGAUCUUCUAAAUUGCACCACUGAGAAACCUUACGAUAAGGAGAAAUGCCAACGUCUGCUCGAAUCCUUGCGCCAAUGCGUCCUUAACAAGGUAAUUAGAAUUGAUUAUGGUGUGAGCCUCUUUUUUUAUUUAAAUAUGUUUAGUGAUGCUUAUUGUUGGUUUUGAUUCUGUUCCUUACUGUUGUUUUUUUAAACACUUGAAUUUUGAUCUGCAUUUUUCACCUUUGGGUGGCUAGUUAGGUGAAUAACUGGAUAAUCCGCCUAGAGGAACUGUAAUUAAGGGUUUUAAAGCAGAAGUUCUUUGUUUUUUUAAACUGAAUUAAGUUAUAACUAUUGCAAGGGGUGGCAUAGCGGUCAAUGAGUUGGAGUGACAACCUUAGGACUCAAGGUUCAAAUUACUAAGGCGACACUGUGAAUUUUCAUGUGCUUAAGCCUUGGUACACAAAGUUGUCGAAUACUUGCUGGAGGGGUG
rnacentral:lncRNA from 1 species